AUCUAAGUUACUGUAAAUUAACCGCGUGGAAGAGCGGUGCUCUUAGCACAAGUGUUUUCUCACUUAAAAAGAGGCACCAGCGCAGAUAUUGUAAUUUGUUUUUUAAGCUACUGAAUAAAAAUAUUUUUAUUUUUAUUUUUUAUUUUUUUAUUAUUUUUUUAUCACAAUAAUGUGGAUAUUAAAAUAUGUGGAAAUGAAAAAAAAUACAGUACCUACCUAAUUGAAAGCUUCAAACUUUAAGGUUUUUGUUUAUUUAAAAAAAAAGUAAAGUAAGGGUACCAUUCUUUUCCUUACAUUUUAACCAAAAAAUAUUGAUUUAAACUUUCACGAUUUUAACACAUUAACUUAUACAAACAGGACUUACUCGCGUAAGUAUUAAGUUUUAAAUUUACCUCCGACGUUUCGAGGACGGCUGUUGUGUCCCCGUGGUCUCGGAGAAGACUCACGAAAAUAAACGUCGGAGGUAAAUUUAAAACUUAAUACGCGAUUAAGUCCCGUUUGUAUUAGUUAAUAAUGCAAAAAAUAUUGUAUUGCAAAUGUAAACGCAAUAUUUCACUGACAAAAUCGCAAUAUUCUUAUUUUCCUUCCACCAUGUCGCUCCAGCGAUACCUGGGGCGCCCCACAGGACGUUCUCCUGCUAGGUGACCGGGUAUAGUUGUUAGAUUUGUAGCUAGCACUCAACGGCUUAUUUUUUGUCCAUGGUUAACUAAAAAGGCGCGUGCCACGACCUGCAAAAAAAAAGGGUCGUAUAAUUCUAAUUGGCGCCUGAACGCGGGCUAGUCCAACGCUCAAAAAACCAGUGUAGGUGUGCUCUCCGAUAACGAGAUUGUUACGCAUAUCGAGGACAGAUUUUAGUCUGGAUCGGUAGCGUUCGACUCGCCGGCACUCAGUAACCGUAUAGAGACCACACAAAAACUCGCAAAUUAUUUUUCCAUUUGUUCAUUUUGAAUCUUAUUUCAAUUACCAUAGGAGUUGUAAUUAAAUAAACGGUUAAAUCGGCCGUUUUAGUUAACAAUGGACAAAAGAUAAGCCGUUGAGGGCCAGCUACAAAUCUAACAAGUAUACACAAGUGCCAGGUGCUGACACGUGAUCGAUUAUUAAUAUAAAUGUACAACGAAGGACGUAUGUUACAUUAAAUGAAUUAGCAACGGAAUAACGCGUAGAUAAAAAUUACAACAAGUAUUUUCAAUACCAUUAGGAAGGUAAUGUAUAUAAGUGAUGCGAUUAGAAUGCGUUCAAUAUUGUGCUGACAGAGUACACAAUAUGAAGCCCUUCAUUAUAUUGUUUCUGUUCGGGUUGUUUAGUGGAGUUCUCUCUGACAUAUUUAUAGUGAGGACGGCACCGUCCUUGAGGCAGAGGCAGAGAAUGCGUGGCGUGGCGGCAAUAGAGAGUGCGAGGCAUGACGUCAACUGAUCGAGCUAUAAAGGCCCCUAUACACGAUGGCCCAGCGUAAGCCAGUCUAAGGGACGCAGCUAUGCGGUGGAAUGAGAUAGCAAUAUCACUUAUUCCCUCUAACGCAUAAAUACGUCCCUUGGACUGGCCUGUGCUGGGCCAUCGUGUAGAGGAGCCAUAAGAGACACGCUGAUCCAUGUGUGACUAAUAAACAUCUACACUGUG